GUCUAUUGGAGCGCAUAGAGGAAGGCCUUCAGCAUGAUCCGCAAGCCAAGCUGCUGUUGGAGCUGAUUGGGCAGGGAAAGACUAGGCGGUUCUGGAGGGAUGAACAUGGGCCGGUGCGGACAAAAAGGGGUGCAGUGUAUGUGCCGAGGUGGGGCAGUUUGAGGAAAGAAGUGAUGCGGGAAUGUCAUGACACUCGGUGGGUUGGUCACCCAAGUGCGCAGCGCACCCAAGCUCUAGUGGAGCGAGGUUACUACUGGCUGAGAAUGCUGGAUGACAUUCAGAUGUUUGUGAAGACGUGCCUUGUGUGCCAGCAAGACAAGGCCAAACAGAGGAG
rnacentral:misc_RNA from 1 species